rnacentral:rRNA from 1 species
UGAGGAAUAUUGGUCAAUGGGCGAGAGCCUGAACCAGCCAAGUCGCGUGAGGGAAGACGGUCCUAUGGAUUGUAAACCUCUUUUGCCGGGAGCAAAGAGCGGCACGUGUGCCGCGCCGAGAGUACCCGGAGAAAAAGCAUCGGCUAACUCCGUGCC